rnacentral:tRNA from 1 species
GCCCCUAUAGUUGAACCAACAACAGAAGCUUUUCACGCCUCAAGUCUGGGUUAAAGUCCCAGUAGGAGCU